rnacentral:rRNA from 1 species
GCGCAAGCCUGAUCCAGCAAUACCGCGUGUGUGAAGAAGGCCUGAGGGUUGUAAAGCACUUUCAAUAGGGAGGAACACCUGUCGGCGAACACCCGGCAGACUGACAUUACCUAUACAAGAAGCACCGGCUAACUCCGUGCCAGCAGCCGCGGUAAUACGGAGGGUGCAAGCGUUAAUCGGAAUUACUGGGCGUAAAGCGUGCGUAGGCGGCCCGUCAAGUCAGAUGUGAAAGCCCCGGGCUCAACCUGGGAACGGCAUUUGAAACUGGCGGGCUAGAGUUUGGUAGAGGGGAGUGGAAUUUCAGGUGUAGCGGUGAAAUGCGUAGAUAUCUGAAGGAACACCAGUGGCGAAGGCGACUCCCUGGACCAGAACUGACGCUGAGGCAC